GCAGGGGCUUGAUCUUGAAGAACAUCUUCAUCCAUGGCCAAUUCUUGACCCCCAUGAAUGCACGGACGUUCCACUGGAUCACCAGCAAGGUUAUUCUCACCUGCGUUCUACAAUUUUCUGGAACUCAAUCCUGGCAAGAAGUCCACGGCUUCUAGCCUGGAUACCAGUGAUGAUGAGAGCAAGACGGUCGUCUCUCAUCUCCUCAAGGACACCCAAGAGACCAGCUUUGAAGAACACCUGAUAACAGUCAAAAAAGUCUCCGUACUGGAUCCUGUUGGGGAAGCCCUUUCUGCAGAUCCUGAUGCCUUCCAGCACACCGUUACAGCGCAGCUGGUGCAUAACCAAAGGAUUCUCCAUGGCCCCAGGAGUCUUGGUCUCGUUGGGGAUGAUGCAGCGCACAAAGUGGGGCAGCAGAUUGCCUACUUACCUCAGGGUUGUUCUCUGCUGUACCUGCCCCCACUGCCAAGGGCAUGGUUGAUUUGUCCUUUUUAUGUGGGGUGGUCCAUCCCAAUAUGGACGUGAGACCUUGAGACUCCCACCGCACCAGAGUUUUAUUAAAGGAAAACCAGCCUAAAGGGUGCAUACAUGGCAGUGUCCUCCUUGACAUCUCCAUGGCCAUGUUGAAAAUCCCAACCUGCUGAUCCAUGUGCACUUCAUCUUCUCUACAUCAUGCAUGCUGUCUACGGACAGCUGUCCUUUCAGUACAUCAAGCACAUUUCAUUGUUUUGGAACGGAAGCUUAUCAGUGAGGAGCAGCCGCAAGCAUAACUCUGUCGUUCGGUAACUGACCGACAAACGCGAAAGGCAGAGCUAGAAUUUCAGGUCAUUGUUCCUGCACCAAACACCAGGGUCUGGACCUCUUCAUAUAUUUAAAG